rnacentral:rRNA from 1 species
GGCCAGACUCCUACGGGAGGCAGCAGUGGGGGAUAUUGCACAAUGGGGGGAACCCUGAUGCAGCGACGCCGCGUGGGUGAAGAAGUAUUUCGGUAUGUAAAGCCCUAUCGGCAGGGAAGAAAUUGGACGGUACCUGACUAAGAAGCCCUGACUAACUACGUGCCAGCAGCCGCGGUAAUACGUAGGGGGCAAGCGUUAUCCGGAUUUACUGGGUGUAAAGGGAGCGUAGACGGCGAUGCAAGCCAGAUGUGAAAGCCCGGGGCUCAACCCCGGGACUGCAUUUGGAACUGUGUGGCUGGAGUGUCGGAGAGGCAGGCGGAAUUCCUAGUGUAGCGGUGAAAUGCGUAGAUAUUAGGAGGAACACCAGUGGCGAAGGCGGCUUUCUGGCUCAUAACUGACGCUGAGGCGCGAAAGCGUGGGGAGCAAACAGGAUUAGAUACCCGAGUAC